rnacentral:rRNA from 1 species
UACAGAGGGGGCAAGCGUUGUUCGGAAUUACUGGGCGUAAAGCGCACGUAGGCGGAUUUGUAAGUCAGGGGUGAAAUCCCGGGGCUCAACCUCGGAACUGCCUUUGAUACUGCAAAUCUCGAGUCCGAUAGAGGUGGGUGGAAUUCCUAGUGUAGAGGUGAAAUUCGUAGAUAUUAGGAAGAACACCGGUGGCGAAGGCGGCCCACUGGAUCGGUACUGACGCUGAGGUGCGAAAGCGUGGGGAGCAAACAGG